AUACGGAGGGUGCAAGCGUUAUCCGGAAUCAUUGGGUUUAAAGGGUCCGUAGGCGGACUAUUAAGUCAGAGGUGAAAUCCCACAGCUCAACUGUGGAACUCCCUUUGAUACUGGUAGUCUUGAGUUAUAUGGUAGUAGAUAGAAUGUGUAGUGUAGCGGUGAAAUGCAUAGAUAUUACACAGAAUACCGAUUGCGAAGGCAGUCUACUACGUAUAUACUGACGCUAAGGGACGAAAGCGUGGGGAGCGAACAGGAUUAGAAACCCCAGUAGUCC
rnacentral:rRNA from 1 species